rnacentral:rRNA from 1 species
GUAAACGAUGAGUGCUAAGUGUUGGAGGGUUUCCGCCCUUCAGUGCUGCAGCUAACGCAUUAAGCACUCCGCCUGGGGAGUACGACCGCAAGGUUGAAACUCAAAGGAAUUGACGGGGGCCCGCACAAGCGGUGGAGCAUGUGGUUUAAUUCGAAGCAACGCGAAGAACCUUACCAGGUCUUGACAUCCUCUGACAACCCUAGAGAUAGGGCUUUCCCUUCGGGGACAGAGUGACAGGUGGUGCAUGGUUGUCGUCAGCUCGUGUCGUGAGAUGUUGGGUUAAGUCCCGCAACGAGCGCAACCCUUGUCGUUAGUUGCCAUCAUUCAGUUGGGCACUCUAGCGAGACUGCCGGUGACAAACCGGAGGAAGGUGGGGAUGACGUCAAAUCAUCAUGCCCCUUAUGACCUGGGCUACACACGUGCUACAAUGGACGGUACAACGAGCAGCGAACUCGCGAGGGCAAGCGAAUCUCUUAAAGCCGUUCUCAGUUCGGAUUGCAGGCUGCAACUCGCCUGCAUGAAGCCGGAAUCGCUAGUAAUCGUGGAUCAGCAUGCCACGGUGAAUACGUUCCCGGGCCUUGUACACACCGCCCGUCACACCACGAGAGUUUGUAACACCCAAAGUCGGUGCGGUAACCUUUUGGAGCCCAGCCGCCUAAGGUGGGAUAGAUGAUUGGGGUG